UGGGGAAUAUUGGGCAAUGGGGGAAACCCUGACCCAGCAACGCCGCGUGAAGGAAGAAGGCUUUCGGGUUGUAAACUUCUUUUACCAGGGACGAAGAAAGUGACGGUACCUGGAGAAAAAGCCACGGCUAACUACGUGCCAGCAGCCGCGGUAAUACGUAGGUGGCAAGCGUUGUCCGGAUUUACUGGGUGUAAAGGGCGUGUAGGCGGGGCUGCAAGUCAGAAGUGAAAUCUAUGGGCUUAACCCAUAAACUGCUUUUGAAACUGUAGCUCUUGGGUAUCGGAGAGGCAGGCGGAAUUCCUAGUGUAGCGGUGAAAUGCGUAGAUAUUAGGAGGAACACCAGUGGCGAAGGCGGCCUGCUGGACGACAACUGACGCUGAGGCGCGAAAGC
rnacentral:rRNA from 1 species